UCCUCCUUCCUCACUUAUCCCCAUCCUACUUAUUCACCUCUGUUAUCCUGAGAAGAAGGUAUCUCUUUUGCUCUACAAAUUUAUUUCAACACUUUAUCUUUCAAUUUCUUGUUUGUUUGUUUUUUUUUGUUUGUUUGUUUUUUAGUGCCACACCUGCAGCAUAUGGACAUAUAUAGGCUAGGGAUCGACUUGCACCUGCAGCUGCCGGCCUCUGCCGCAGUCACAGCAAAGCGGGAUCCAAGCUGUGUCUGCCACCUACACCACAGCUCAUGGCAGUUCUGGAUCCUUAACCCACUGAGUGAGGACAGGGAUCGAACCUGCAUCCUCAUGGACACUAGUUGGGUUUGUAACCCACCGAGCCACAGUGGGAACUACCUCACGUUCUUGCUUUGAUAUUGGCAUUUCAGUAUAUGUCAUUUUGCAUCAGGGUGUAGCACAUGUAAAACCUUUUUCAUUAUGUUUGUCUCUUCCAAUUCUCCAUGGGAAGUCAGUGUGGUUAUAAUGCAGAUUAGUUAGAGAAAUGCACUGGAUAAUCUUAACAAUUCCAUAAGCUUGAGAUUUCCAUGCCUUUGCAGCAGGAUGUCCUUGAAAUUUUCAUUGAGCUUUGGGUAACUUUUCAGAAUAAGAUUCAGCUGCCAGUGAAACAUAAUGGGUUUGUCUUUAUCUAUUCAACUUCAUUAAGAGAAGUAUAAGUUAUCUCUUCUAAUGAGUUACUUUUUUUCCCAAUGAGUAUACUUGACAGGGUUGGAAAGUGUAGGGGAAAAUGCCCUUUAUUGUGCUCUCUGAUGAUUUUUGCAAAAAUAAAUCUUUGUUAUGUAGCUUCCUCAAAUAAGCGUGGCUGAGAUAUUACACUAUCCUAUCUAACCUUCCAAUUAAACAACACUAUUACAUACACAUGCAGUGAAAAUCAUUAUGAGAUAUGUAGUCAAAAAACACAUUACAAUAGUAGAAAUGCAUUUAGACUUGAUAGAUAUUUAAGUGAUUUGGGUUGUAGAAGAUUGUUUUAGGGAGCUUACAACACAAAGUAUUCCUCUAUUAAUGGUGCAGGUAUUAAUAAAGUGUGACUAGGUAGAUUGUAAUAUCUGAAAGUACAUUGAAGAUAUUUUUUGGGAUAAAAUACGAGAUUUUUCUGUCAUUGUUUAUUUCUGUCAGGACUUUGUGUGUGUUUGUUUAAGUGAAGCAACGAAAUUGUUCCCACAGUUGACUUAGAACACUGAAAUGCUCAAAGAAUGAGUGGGAGCAUAAAUUCGAUUUGUGUGUUGGAAAUCUCAUUCCCUUGUAGGUGUACAAUAGGCAGGAUACUAAAAUCAGGAUGAAUGGAAGCUGAAACAAUCUGGAAAGAGAAGUAGGUGGUAGGUGGGUGCCAAGAGGCCAGAUAGCAUGGAACUCCACUCUGACAUCUAAAGAAGCUGGGAUGAGUAGAUUAACAUGUAGAGUUAGGGAAGGUAUCUUGAAACUCAGCACGAGGUUGUAUCUCUUGAAGGACUCUAAAAAGGUGAACUCGCAGUCUCCUCCCCUGUUAUUUUGCAUGAGUCCCCUGGGAACUUAGUUAAAUUGCAGAUUCUGACUUACCAGGUGUGGGGUAGAACCCAGGGAUGCAUGUCAAACUAGCUCCCAGUUGAUGCUGAUGCCUCUGGUCCUAGGACCAACUGUGAGCAGCAGAGGCCCAGGGGGCAUUUUCCAUCCACUCAUGGAAGAGGUCAGUGGCCACUGAAAGAACCAGUUAGCAUGUGCAUUCUUAAGCCAUAAAAUAUGGGUGAGAAGGAACCAUUCCCCCUGCUCAGGCAGCCCUAUGACUGCUGAAAGAGUGUGGAAGCAAUGGCAGAAGUGCCAAUAAUCCCUGCAGCUCUCUAACAGGCUUGUGAAUAACAACAACAGCAACAACAACAACAACAGCUAAUAUUUAUAUGAGGCUUGCUGAAUCCCAGACAUGAUUCCAAAUGCUUCCUGGCAUGUUUCAUUGUAACCCUCACACCCACCCUGUGAAAGAGUUACCAUCAUUGUCCACAGUUUACAGAUGAGGGAACUGAAAUUUAGGGGGUAAGUGGCAUGUCAAUAUCACGUACAUCUACUCAGGAUUCAGACCACAAUUAUGACUACAUAAUUCAUGCUUUCAACCAUUUUCUAAGUGCUUGCUAUGUGCUGGGAAUAUUUCCUUAAAUCCAGCCUUUGAGAGGGGAAAGAGGGUAGCAUUGGAAAUGAGGAAAAAGGUUCAGAGAGGAAAAAUGAUUUCCCCGGGUUAGAAUUUUUUGCAUUAGAGAAGGGAUUUGAAGUUGGGCCGACUCCAAAGUAGAAAAAGCUCCAGCAGCCACAAAGGAUUGUUGAUGGUAAUUUAAGAUCAUCAGGAAGGAGAUGAUUUUGAGAAACUGUAGUCCAGGUAGCAUCAUUUGGGGAGGCUCAGGAACCAAAGACGUGAUUGUCAUCUAAGCCCUUGCUUUUCCCUCUCAGUGCUGGCGUCACCUUGGCAAACAAGGGUUUUACAGUGUUAUCUAGAAAAAAAAGAGACAUAUUUGAACAACAAUAUGUGCAAAUUUAAUAAUUCCAUUCGCCCCUUACUUUUCCACUUGCAAUUUUAAAAUAACCAGUAUUCUAAGGAAUAGAGCUGGUCAUCCAAAGGAAGGUUGGAUAGAUGUAGCUGUGUGUCUUUAUAGGCAGAUAACUGGAGAUUAUUUGAAGUUCGUUUAUUGUUUUUCUCUAAGUUGCUGCCAAAAUCAUUUGCACUUAAAGCAAUAUUAGCAAUGGGCAAAUUAUUCCACAAGUAAUUUUUUUUUUCUAAAAAAGCUGUAUCCAUCUAUUUCUCUCUCUAUAUAUAUCUCCUCACAAAGAAUGAGGCUGAGUGUAAAGGAUUAUACUCUACUAAAAUAUGUGCAUCUGUGGAGUUCCCAAUUGGCACAGUUGGUUAAGGAUCCAGCAUCUGCUGUGACUCAAAUUCGAUCCCUGGCCUAGGAACAUCCACAUGCCACACAGAUGCACACACACACACACACAGAGCCUUUUAGUCCUUAGGAUCCCAUCUGUUAGAAAGCUUUAAAUAGUUUGAGUUCCCUUGUGGUGCAGUAGGUUAAGGAUCUGGCAUUGUCGCUGCAGUGGCUCUGGUCACUACUGUGGUGCAGGUUUGAUCCCUGGGCUGAGGAACUUCUGCAUGCUGGGGGCGUGGCCAAAAAAAUAACUAGCUGGUUCUGAAAUUUUGCAUAUAAAUCAAUUUUCCACUGGGUUAUAUCUUGUGAGCUACAUUUAGAGCAAACUGUAACUUACACCCACACACAC
rnacentral:lncRNA from 1 species